CAAGUCUGAUGGAGCAACGCCGCGUGAGUGAAGAAGGGUUUCGGCUCGUAAAGCUCUGUUGGUAGUGAAGAAAGAUAGAGGUAGUAACUGGCCUUUAUUUGACGGUAAUUACUUAGAAAGUCACGGCUAACUACGUGCCAGCAGCCGCGGUAAUACGUAGGUGGCAAGCGUUGUCCGGAUUUAUUGGGCGUAAAGCGAGUGCAGGCGGUUCAAUAAGUCUGAUGUGAAAGCCUUCGGCUCAACCGGAGAAUUGCAUCAGAAACUGUUGAACUUGAGUGCAGAAGAGGAGAGUGGAACUCCAUGUGUAGCGGUGGAAUGCGUAGAUAUAUGGAAGAACACCAGUGGCGAAGGCGGCUCUCUGGUCUGCAACUGACGCUGAGGCUCGAAAGCAUGGGUAGCGAACAGGAUUAGAUACCCUGGUAGUCCAUGCCGUAAACGAUGAGUGCUAAGUGUUGGGAGGUUUCCGCCUCUCAGCGCUGCAGCUAACGCAUUAAGCACUCCGCCUGGGGAGUACGACCGCAAGGUUGAAACUCAAAGGAAUCGACGGGGGCCCGCACAAGCGGUGGAGCAUGUGGUUUAAUUCGAAGCAACGCGAAGAACCUUACCAGGUCUUGACAUCCAGUGCA
rnacentral:rRNA from 1 species